UACGUAGGCAGCAAGCGUUGUUCGGAGUUACUGGGCGUAAAGGGUGUGUAGGCGGUUCUUUAAGUUUGGUGUGAAAUCUCCCGGCUCAACCGGGAGGGGGCGCCGAAUACUGAGGAACUAGAGUACGGGAGAGGAAAGUGGAAUUCCUGGAGUAGCGGUGAAAUGCGUAGAUAUCAGGAGGAACACCGGUGGUGUAGACGGCUUUCUGGACCGUAACUGACGCUGAGACACGAAAGCGUGGGUAGCAAACAGG
rnacentral:rRNA from 1 species